GAUGAAGAACGUAGUGAAAUGCGAUAAGUAAUGUGAAUUGCAGAAUUCAGUGUAUCAUCGAAUCUUUGAACGCACAUUGCGCCCGCCAGUAUUCUGGCGGGCAUGCCUGUUCGAGCGUCAUUACAACCCUCAGGCCCCCGGGCCUGGCGUUGGGGAUCGGCGGAAGCCCCCUGCGGGCACAACGCCGUCCCCCAAAUACAGUGGCGGUCCCGCCGCAGCUUCCAUUGCGUAGUAGCUAACACCUCGCAACUGGAGAGCGGCGCGGCCACGCCGUAAAACACCCAACUUCUGAAUGUUGACCUCGAAUCAGGUAGGAAUACCCGCUGAACUUAAGCAUAUCAAUAAGCGGAGGA
rnacentral:misc_RNA from 1 species